rnacentral:lncRNA from 1 species
CCUAUCUUGAAUAUCUAAGGAUGCGAACGUCAUACCUGAGUGACGAUCUGGGGAGCCUUCAAGGAAUUUCAGCUUCUCAUUUCCUGGAGAACAGUAAAAGCUGCUACUUAAGAUAUGGUAAUAGAAAAUGAGGAGUUCCCCAUUUGCUGCCUCCACUGUCCUUAGGCUCUUUUAAAAUAUUAAACUCAACUGCACAGGCUAGAAAGACUUGGCUUAUUAUGGGUAUUCCCUAUGAGUUCUGCAGCUCCAUCAUGUUUCGUUUGUAUACUUUAGCCGGUCUGUUUUUUCUGGUCUCUGUUUCUGGAUAGUGUACAUAUUUUAACUGCCUUGUGAUGCCGUAUUAACAUUUUGUUAUUGUGACAUGCUAGGGUUGCCCUCUCCGGGAGUCAGCUGUCUUCUCCAAGUGUAAUCUUUGGGAGGAGUGAGUGCUCAAGUGUGUAAAUGUAUAACCAUUCAUUGCACACACUGCCCCUGUAUUUGUACAGCACUGGAGAAGGAUUUUCCCAGUGGUCUUCAGAGGAGUACUUGUCCCUAUUGCCAUCUGUGAAAUGCAGGAGGGCAUAUGUUUGUACUCUGUUGUGCAUUUGAGGACCUCUCUGUUUUCUCUCAAGUCAAUAUAGGCUGUAAGGCUGCAUUUCCAACCUCCAUUGCCCUGGGCUGGGAGGAAGAGGCAGACUGGGCAUGUGGCCUCCACUUGCAGAGUGUUGCCAGCAUCACUCUCUAGCACAGAGCUUCUCUUCUGCAGGUGAUGUGCCUGCUGGUGGCAGCCCCCAGGAAACCCCCAAACAGGAGACGGAACAGGGCUAAGAUGGCCUAGGAUCCACUGGUUCCCAAGCCAGCCCUGCCCCACUGCCAUAACAUGUGACAGAACAGAACUGGUGCAGUUGUUUGCAAUGAAUGUGGUGGUAGCACUGGGGUGUUAGACAUUUGCAAAUGUCAGAGUUUUGGAGUGGUAGCUAUCACCAUUGGACUGUUUGGAAGAUAGUGAAAUUUGUACCUUUUAAAGUAUCUUUAUGCAUGUUUCCAUAAAGCCAUUGAUUUAUUUCAUACAUGUGCACACUUUUUCAAGCACAAGUUUUAAGGUGAAUCUGACAUUAUUAUUACUAUUUUAAGUUGCAUUCUGCACACCCUUCAUCAGCAUAUUUGUCCUUGACUAAAAGUGCUUCCAGGCAGGGGUUUAUUGUGGAUUUGGUACUGUCAUGCAUCCAACUUUGUUUGUAGGCAGCAUCCACACAAUGUCAUUGGCAAUGAAACACCAGCUCAUAUUCCCUCACUGCCCCCUGCCCCCAGCUGCCAAAAUAUAAUCCGGAUUUACCCUUUGGGGGGGGGGAGCAAAUUCAGUAAGGAGAAAGAACCCUAUUGUUGACUACCCAUUUGUGGUAUCUCCAGGGCCUACUUGCAAAUUAAGUCCCCAUCUGGAAGCAUCCUCAGAAAAGAGGAUUUAAAUAAUAAUAAUUCUGGGCAUCUUUUCCUUUUCUAUCUCUUUCUCAUUUUCUGUUCUUUCUUUGUCAGUCCUUUUUAAACUUCCCUUGGAUUUUUUAAAGCCAGUAAUAGUGCUUUUGCUGCAAUUCUUGGAAACUGAGACAGAAAUCAUAACAAACUGCACUGCCUAAGGUAGUUUCCAGCUGCCAAGAAUUAGGGCAAGGUGGGGAGAGAGGAGGGAAAAUGGUCUUCAGAUAAAAAGAGCAGCCCUUGGGAAGUCCGGCUUUUCACAAAGUGCUGAUGGUCUCGGUGCUAGCAGUGCUCUGCUGCACAACUUCUGUGGCUACAGAUGCACCGCUACCGUUUUUAUGUUGGUUUCUGAGGUUUCUCUAUGUUCCAUGGCCUUUUUAUUUUUCCCAUUGUACCAGGCCUGCCUGUCUUCCCCUGCCAACCUAAGCAGCCUGUUGGCAGCAAGUUCUUGUCUGUGUUCCUGAAGGAUGGAACUCUCUCGUUUUGCAUGCUGGCCCUGAAGCAAGGCUUUCCUGCUCUUCCAGCCUCUCCGCCGCUCGCAAGCUUUGUCCAUAUCAGCUGCUAGAAUAAGGGAGCAGGAAGGGUAAUCCAGUGCCUGCAUAGGAGGCCAUGCCUGUAGCUUUGCUUUUUCCUCAGAUUGGCUACUGGUCUUGUUUUGCUCCAUGUGGAGUAUGAAUAAGGGCUGUUUUGGCAUGGCGAUAAAGCCUGAGUUAGAUAAAGCACCAAGAUGCUGUUCAAAAGGAACUGCGAGCUGGUAUUGAUUCACAUUAAUAAGUACUUUGCACAAAUAAGCACAUACAUAGCCCCCGAUUCACAGCAAUAGCUGGCUUCAAGCCCACUUUGACAAUGCUGCCCUGUGGAAGUGGGUCGGGGAUGGCAUUAAUCGCACAUUCUGAACCUGGCACAACAGGUCGAAUGUGCUUCAUGGAAUUUGACAUACACAAUGGUUGGGAGAAUCUUGAGCAGAAAGUUGGAAAUAUCAAUGCCUCUGAACAAAGACUUAUGGCAAGGCUUAAUAGAAAUUGCCCACUAGCCAUAAGCAGAGUAAGUGUAUACUUAAUGGAGAAAAUGCUAUAAGCACCACAAAUGAAACCAGUAUAUAUAUUUGCUACUCCACAUUGUAGUCACAGACUGCCAAAUUGCAUUCUGGAACAUGGGAAGGUGUCUUCUGCUGACACAGCCCAUUGGUCCUUUCUCCUUAGCUUUGUCUACACUGAUUGACUCUCUGGGGUUUCCCAGCCCUACCUAGAAAUACAAGGGAUUGUUCCUGUGACUACGUCCCUCCCUAUGCCCUUUUAAAAAAAAACCCGAAUGCAUCUGUAGAGACUUUGCCCACCUGAAUGUGCCUGUGUGUGCUGCCAGCUACUCUUCCACCACACACCAGUAUCGCACACCCACCGUCCAGGGAGCAGGGAUUGGGGUGGAAGGAAGAAAUCACUGCAGGGCCAGCCCAUUCGGGGAAAUGGGGCAGCCAGCUUGACCAGCAGGUGCUGGUAAGCAAAGAACAGCUGUGCAAGCCUGGAGUUUAAAAAUGCCUUGGGAUUGGGCUGCUGCCUUAUCACCGGGUGCAUCAGGUGAUUUAAAGGUAUUGGGUAGGUUUCUGGAUGGUAACCUGGCGAUCCAAACACACCGCUUUUUCUGGCAUGGAUUUUAAUACCCUUUGCAGAGCAAGCAUGUUAAUGAUGACAUGUGGGGAUAGCCAUCCUGGGUGUUGUUUUAUUAUCUCCUAACCCGCCCAGUUUUGUGUUCUGAAAGCAGGCAUUGUUGCUCAUUCUCCUAUUACGUCCUAUUUUUAAAUGAUUGAGUUCCGCAUAUUAGCAGUGGGCAGAGCUUACCUGACCUCCCGUUAAGAAUGUCGCUGCAGUUUACCAGAACGGAGCAGGGGGCGAUAUGCAGCAACAAGGUCAGCACUGUGCAAACGCCAAUCCGACACUCACGCCAGUGCACUGGCAAGGUGCCCACUCCACCACUGGGAAUGGGAGGUCAGCUACGUGCUUCCACCCUGCUGACAGUGGCUGCUUCCACUGUGGAUGAUAGACUCAGUAGUGGAGCUAGAAAUACGCAAAGCAGGCCUGAGGAUUGUUCUGGUGGAAGAUACCAAUUGCUGGCAGAUUCUGCCAGCAAUUUAUUCGAAUGGGAUGGAGGGCUUUCCUUUAUUGGCAAGCUUGUUGCAUCUGAAUUGCUUUGUGUUAGUUGCAGAUGAAAGUGUGUUCUCAAAGUAGCUGCUAAAGUCCGAAGUGAGCUGAAGGCACAGUCCCGUUGCACUGACUGAGUAAAUCCUACUGAGCUUUGUAGGACUUACUUAGUAAGUCGGUAGGGGGUUGUGCCCAUGUCAUGUCAGUAUCUCUGCCGCUCUUCAGAGCACUUCAGCAAAUCCUCAGAAAUUUACCUUUGAAAACCCAGAUAUGUUCUCAAGGUGCGACGUUUUGAGACAUCCUUCUCAGUUGAGGGCUCACAUGCCUUAGUUACAGCUCAUCCAUUUCAUAGCUUGGAGGGAAAAAAGAUUGAUAGGGAUGCCAGCUUCUCAGCUUGUUGGUGUGCCACUAAAAGCUGCUUGAUUUGCAGGAAUUAGCUGCCGACAUCCCCAUUAUAAAAAGGUAUAUUUGCUGGUUUCUGCACAUCUAGCUGCUCUGAAAUGUUAAGUCUGAAUGCUCCCCCCCAUCAGUUGGCAACCCCGGUUGUCGUUCCAGUGAUUAUAAUCCAAAACUGCUUAAUAUGGCCAUUAAAAAUAAUAAAAGGUUGCUUUUGAUUGUUUAGCCAGCAGGGGGGAAAUGCAUCAAAAAGGAUUUCUUAGUGAGCUGUCCAAGAACUCUUUCAGCAUGUAAAGCACAGACUGGGAACCUGUGGCCCUCUGGAUAUUGCUAGACUGCAGUGUCCGUCAGACAGCAUGCCCAGUGGGCAGGGAUUGUGGGAGUUGUAAUCCUGCAACAUCUAGUAGGUCACAGUUUCCCCACCUCUGACGGAAAGAGUGCUUGGGAUCAUUCAGUUUCAUUUGUACAUGGGCUCAGAACUGGUACAAAGUUCUAAUUCUUAGCUGUAAGUAUAUGGAGAAAACAGGCCAAGGGUGUCUCCAGAUGAGUGUUUAUUGUGGAUUUGGUGCUCCUCAUGCAUGCAAGUUUUAUGCAGCAGCCACACUAUGUUGUCAGCAUGUAAAUGCCAGCCUGUCUCCCCUGCCCUCUCUCUGGAGAAAAAUCCAAUAAAUGAAAACAAACCCUUGUUGCCAGCAAGCCAUUUGCAAUAUCUCAACAACCCAUUUGCAAAUUAAGCCCCUUUUGGGAAAUAUCCCAAACACGAAAUGUUCUGGAAUAUAAUUGUUUAUGUGUAUAAAUAAAAUGUAGUCUCUUCUAUCCCUCUGCUUGAGAUACGGUUGCUCCUGUUUCAAAUGCCUUGCUGCCCUGGACCUCUCUCAGCAGCUUGACUUGCUGGGCUUAGAAGGGGGGUUGAUGUUCAUUUCCAUGUUGUAAAAAGCUGUACCCGGUUAUUUCAUUCCAACCAAGCCGCUGUUGAAAGGCGCAGCGACAGAGACUAGUUCAAAUAUUGGCAACCCUCCCCUCUGCCUGCACAGACACAAACACACACUUGUAUAAGAAACACUUUUCCUUUGAAAUUAAUUAUGGAACUUGGCAUCUUCCAAUGAAAAAUCUGAGUGAAGGUUGGUUGUGUUUAAAAGAAGCUCUGCUGAAAGCAAGUGAACAUCAGUAGCUCAGACCUAACUUUUCCCAUUGAUUUCAAUGGGUCUUAAGUGCAACUGUCUCUGGGUGGGGCCUGUGUCUCAGGAGGGGGCACUGCAGAUUAUGGAAGCCAUUUCCUGUGUUUAUGAGGAGGGCUUUUGUCUAUUUGAAGCCUUUGAGUAAAGCGGGGUGUGGGAUGGGGGAGGCAACUUAAGGGUGCUAAGGGGAUUGAAUUGUUUAGACGGUUUAAAAUGGUGUUAUGAAAAUUAUUGCGUGUACAAUGCUUUUUCUAUAAAAAAACCCUAAUGAUUUCUUCUGUAUGGUUUUUUCUUCUGAAGAGCUUCAAGGAGUCAGAUAUAGGCAUACACAACCCGGAAGGCAACUGUUACAUAACAUCCUUUAGAUGACUUUUCAAAGUGCAAGGUGCUUUUUAUUCUUACUCUUACGAUCUUGUUCACCUUCACAAGAGCCACUUAAAGCCAAGCUGUCCAGAACGUCUUGGCCAAAGAAAAAAUAGGCAGGUCUAGUUUGUCAUACAGGCAUGAAGAACAAAUAAAGAAUGAAGGACUGUCCCUUGUAAAGAAGGCUACAUGGCCACUGUGCCUCCCCUUUCCAACUCCUUGACACCAUAUUCAUCACAUUGAUGUAAUAUCCAUUAAAGAAGGCUAUACUAUUUCUCUACCCUCUUCAGACAGAUAGUCUGGUCAAGCGAUGUGAAGAAGACCAAAUAUAAGUCAAAUGUUUUGAAAAGUUGGGUUCCUAACUGAAGCAUCAGCCUUCUUUCGGGGUUUUAGAAAAUCCUGUUACUAUAAUGGUGUAACCUCCAGGUGAAGUUUAAAUUUGGUUAUUGUGCCUUUUUCUUUUUUCUUUUGCAAUCCUCUCCCUUCCCAAUUGCAGAUUUUUUAAAAAAGGGAUUUAGAUAUGCGCCACGAUUCUUUCAGGAGUGAUAUAGAAAGAGAAGUGUGCGUUGCUCCCGCACUGGACUCUUGUACUUUUUAUAGAAAGAAGUUAACUUGACAAUAGCCAAUUGCACUGGGAAAGCAGGUAACCUUUCUAAAAUUAAAAUUAGUUUUAGCAUAUAAUUCACUCAUGCUGUCUCCCCUCCGAUCCUCCCAGCUUGCAAGAUGGCUCUCCAGCCAGAUCCUUGGCAAACCUGGUCCUGAAGCACACAAACCUCCUUUUCCAUAGUCAGAGACCCAGCGAGAAUGUAGCAUUUUGUCUAUCCUGGUUGUGUGCCUUCAGGACUCUUCUGCCUUGGCCUGUGGCAACUUUAGAGGAGAUCCUUUUUUCCCCCUUUUAGUUUUUGGUACCUUUGCAAUAUAUUUAGCUCUGGCUUUUCUCUGUUUUGGUGCUUUUAAAUAUAUUUGAAAUUCGUCUUGGAUUUUUCCCCCAUAACUGGUACAAUUUUUAAUAAAAUGCUUAAAUC